GUCAGCAGGAUGAGGACCUCAGCGGCCGACACAAAGUUACUUGUGAUUUCGUGAAUGAAGGGUGCAAAUCAGAGGAUGGAAAGUCAUAAGUUGGAUUGAGUUUGGCAAUUGUGGACACGCAUAAGGUUUGUGGACUGUCAGUAUUUGGUCACCUACAAUCAAGAUUUCACGCUCUCAGACCUGUGAUUUCUGCAAGAGGCUCCCAUCCUCCACUUGUUUAUAGGGUCUAAAUCCUAUAAACACACCGACGUGAUCAAUCACGUGGUGUCUUUAAAGUGCUGGCAACUUACCCCAUUGAGCUGUUUAUUUGUUGCCACGUGGUCAUGGAGUUCAAAGAUGGUCCAGCGGGGGAAGAAAAAUUAGGCAUUUCAGCACUGCUCAGUUCAUAAUCUGUUAAAUAAAAUUCACACAUAGAACUCCAUUUUUACAUACUGUACACUAUAGAUGUAUGAUUAACUUGCAUCCACAUUGAGGUUUUUACUGCGAUAAUCUAACAUCAUGAAGCUAAUUUUCCACUCUGAGUGACAAAUUUACUGUCACGCUGCACCUCGACCGCAGUUUAACAGUUUGGCACGCACGUACUGUAGUCUGCGGAUUGGUAAAAUUCGACCAGUACAAAUUGAAAUUUUAAAUCAAUGGUUGCAUAAAAGGCCUUUUCCAGGACUUGUCACUGGUUAGGAACUCCCACAUUAUGAUCUAUUUUAGUUUUCAUUUUUAUAUUUAUCAGUGAAAUUGACGUGGCUCUCAUCCAUCUGUGCGCGCUACAUUGAGACUUGUAUUUCCGGGACACUGCAAAUGAGUUGUUUCCUGCUGGUUGUUCUUAUAAAAUGGUUUAUUUUGUGAGUUUGUAUGCUGAAAGCCAAAUAUGAUUGCACUAUUCACUCAUGCAGGCCUGUAAUGAAAAUAAAAGUACACCCUUGUAAUCCACUUUAUAAGUGUUAAAUAAAGUUUAAAAGAAAAAACUGCGUCUGAUGCUUUGAAAAAUCUGUUGCUACGUUGUGGCAACUCCCGUCACUUUGAAGCCGGGCCGGAUGUAUGGGGG